rnacentral:rRNA from 1 species
UACAGAGACUGCAAGCGUUAUUCGGAUUCACUGGGCGUAAAGGGUGCGCAGGCGGCUAAGUGUGUUAGGCGUGAAAGCCCGGGGCUUAACCCCGGAAUUGCACCUAAAACUACUUGGCUAGAGCAUUGGAGAGGGUAGCGGAAUUCACGGUGUAGCAGUGAAAUGCGUAGAUAUCGUGAGGAACACCAGAGGCGAAGGCGGCUACCUGGACAAUUGCUGACGCUCAGGCACGAAAGCGUGGGGAGCAAAAGGG